UAUCGGAUUACUGGGCGUAAAGCGUGCGUAGGCGGUUCGUUAAGUCCGAUGUGAAAUCCCCGGGCUUAACCUGGGAACUGCAUUGGUGACUGGCGGGCUAGAGUAUGGCAGAGGGGGGUAGAAUUCCACGUGUAGCAGUGAAAUGCGUAGAGAUGUGGAGGAAUACCGAUGGCGAAGGCAGCCCCCUGGGCCAAUACUGACGCUCAUGCACGAAAGCAUGGGGAGCAAAACAGGAUUAAA
rnacentral:rRNA from 1 species